CCACCAGCGCCACCCGCCUACAUUCUUUGCCUCCCUCCUAAUGAAGACCUGGCAAAAAUGGAAGUGAUCAGUGAUCAGAAGGUCAGACAAACCCUGAAGGAGAAGGAAACUGAGCACCAGAGGCAUCAUUUGUAAUAGAGAGAAAGCAAGCAUCUGUGCGUUUCAUCUCGCUGCUCGCUGUUGUACCGGACCGAUUGCUUUUGGUUUAGGAGCCAGGACGAAGCACAGCCAUUAUGAUGCAUUUCGGAGAGCGAGCGCACGAGUCACAGAAUGACAGAGCUGGAAGGGACCCACAUGGAUCACUGGUCCAACCCCCGGCUCCACACAGCACCACCCCAAAACCAAAGGAAGGAAAAGGACCACUGGAGCAAUGGGAAGUCUACUUGAGGACACCCAAGGGAGGCCACCAGGAUGGGCCCAUCUUCCUCCCCUCUAGAUGGAGCUCCAGGAGAAGCCUGAAGUCCCUUCCAACACAGAGGUGAGAGUUGAGCCCGCAACUCAAUCUGUUUUGGAAAAACCAGGAUGAAAGCCAUCACAGUGUCAGACAGGUUAUUCCCUCCUGCAGCACCACCCAUCACAUCGCACUCAAGACAGAACAUCUCCCCCUCCUUCGCUGGGACACUUUUCAGCCCAAAACGUGCCCCAGUGCCCGGUGCAGGGGCUGCUAUUGAUACUGAUGGGGCAGCCGAAAUAAAUGGUUUCUUUAACAUUUCCAGAGGUUUCAUUUGCAGCAGGAUCAGAGAUAUUUCAUUCCUCCAUGGAUACGCUCCAUCUCUGGCCAUUUUGUGUGCAAAAGCACCAGCAGAGAAUUUCAAGUUUCCUUGAUGACGGCAGCCUGGAUGUGUAUGAAAGAGAGAACAGAGCGAAGGUAAUGCUGGAACUCAGCUUUUAUGGCCCAUUCCCUUUUGCCAAUAAACAUCUUCCUGACCAGGC
rnacentral:lncRNA from 7 species